AGAAGGCAAAGCAGCUUCUUCCACCUCAGACAAGCUUUCCCUGUGUGGCCGCUGGCUUUAAGAAGAUGGUGAGAGGAAAAGAGUAGAAAGAACAACAGCACUAGACACGGCCUGAUCAAGCUGAAGCAUGAAGACAAAGAAGCAGAUGUGACGUCUCUAGUGCUACGUCUGUCAAAAAGAAGCUAUUUGAAUGGAGUGGAAUUUAGCUCCCCACACGGAGAAGGAAGCAUAAAGAUGAGUCGUCUGGGUGACCAGGAGCUCAUGGGACUGCCCAGGACAGAAUCCCUGCCGCGAGGGCCUUGUGUAGCUGCGUGGUCCUCUCCUUCCCAUCUUGUAGGCUGCAGACUUUCGGUACUCUGGAAAACAGCCCUUGGGAUAUCCAUGACUGCGAGGGCAAUGGUGCUCCUAGGUCUGGGGAUGGUUCCCAAAUGGCUCCAUAAGAAGUUAGGUUUCUCAUGUGUAACACCUGCUACUCUGUGGUGGAAACUCUAGUCCAAAAAGUCUUCUAUUUCAGGAGGAAAGAGGAAUGUAGCCUUUGACAACCUGCUUCCCAUCAGAAAAAGGAGAAUGGCUUUACAGUUCCUUUUCCCAGACAACUUAAUCAGCCGGAAAAGGUUCAAUUAAAGGUGACAGCUUGUUUUUUGCUUUAAGCAUAUGUGCUGAGUGCAACUGCAUGAUUUUCAUCCAGGAUUCAGGGGCUGGUCAGUGACAAAGUUACAGCACACUGCAGAGGAAGAAAGAAGUAGAGGCAUGAGAGAAGCUGUUUGAGCAGAGCUGGAUCAAGAACAUCAAUAUUCAAAGAGGGAUCUUUGAUCAAUAUAUGCAGACAAACCCCAGCCUGUAUGCAUCUCAUUACAGUGCUCCAUCCAGUACUGCUUGUUUGCUGAAUUGCCUGUUUCUGGGAAAGGAAAAAACUUGCAUAAUACCUAGUUUAGACCUAAAAAAAGUAUGAACACUUAGUGGGGAUACAUCAGUAGCUCAAGCCCACCAGCUAGGGGAUCACAGUCUUACAGAUUGCCACUGACUCGUGGGCAGAGAGAGGGAGUGGGAGUGGUAAAGAGGGGAAAUAAGGCAAAAGACAUGCUAGAUAGCUUUCUUUCCAGCCCAUCUCUGCACCCCCAGCCUGAAAAUUAAAGACAUGGUUGGUAAAGGAUCAUGGCUUACUUCAAGAUGACCUAUUGCAUGGGUCCAAAGCCAGCUGAGUCAUGUCCUCUACAUAAGGGAACAGGAACAGAAGAGGAGCCAAAGGAGACCUAUUUCAAGAAUUAAGGUUGCCACCACUUUUCCAUGUCUAAUGUUUCUGCAAAGGGCUCUGACUCAACAACAACUUGCUGGUGCUUCAGGUGUAGCACAGAGGGAAAUGUCACAUAGGGGACAAAGUGUCCCCUGUGCCACAGCAAGCAGGCUUGCAAUAAAAGAGCUUACCAGCCACAGUGCCCAGCUGAACAGGCUGACAGCAUGUGCACGUCUAAGACUGUUGCAGAGGUCCUGUGUGACACCAGCAUCCCAGUGGUACCACAGCUACUGAUCUUUACCUCCUUAUUUUGUGCCUCAGAGCUGCUGCAUCCAUGUGAAGCCAGUGGGGAUGGAAGGUGCAGCACACUCAGGCAACGGAACUGCAGGGAGCGGUGGUACCAGCAGCAGAGAGCAGCCUUGGGAGCUAGAGAGCCUGGGGAAGAGCCAACUGAGGGCUUGGAAAGGUGCAGCAUCUUCUCUGGAGCUCUAUGGUGCCCUUCUAAAGGAGGAUGGAGACAAACCAGAAGAAAAAAUGGGAAGCAUGAUCCUCAGGGCUGCACACACUGUAGUACAGCUGAAGCCUUUCACCUUUCAGAGGGUUCUUUGUUGUAAUUAAAGGAUGUAAAUACUGCUCUGUAGUUGAUACAAAAGAGCAUCUCUCA